CUAUGUCCUAUGAUGAGGAGAAGUAAUUAAAUUUAGCUACAUUACAGAGAGUUAGGGUAGUUGAGAGCCUAGCAAGAAGGAGUUUAACGAAUGGACCUCUAAGGAACAAGGUGAGAAAUCUAUAAAGAGAGUAUCUUAGUGGUGGGCUGCACCUUACAGCAGACAGAGUAUGUUAGUACUUGAUAAUGAGUGGUGUGAUGAUAUAUCCAUUAAAUAAUUACACAAUUUAGGUGGCAACACGGAAAUAAUCUCCGUCCUAUUA
rnacentral:ncRNA from 1 species